GAACAGCGCUUAUUGUCUGGAGGAGGAAGCCAGCGAGUGCACGACUCUCCUCUCCCUCUGGACCGUUGCCUCAGCAAUGCCAGGAGUCCAGGCGUGAUGCCAUGGAGUCCAAAUCUGACCUGUCAAGAAAUGGAUGUGGGGAAAUCAGAAACAGCCAUUGCUCCUCACAAGCAAACCGAAGAGAGCAGACAGCCCAGCGCUGGCUGCCUCUAGUAUAAGUCCACAAGGCACGCAGAACAGACAGCAGGUGACCCUGUGCAGAACCAGCCGCGAGGACCAGGAGCCCAGUGAGCCGAAGGGGUGAUGUCAAGAACACAGGCAGAUUUUCCUCUCUGGGAUGUGUCACCUCACAUGCAUUAAUGGAGGUCCACUGUCAUGGUCAUGGUCAUGCAGCUGUCCUCCUUCCCAGACGGGACAGAGCAGUUCUGUUACGAAGGCACUGCCUUAUCCCCUGUGCAUUGCCGGUGUGCUACCUCGAGCUCAAGGGAAGAGCAGCAGCCACAGAGAAUCCCCAAAACCCACCUUAUUUUUAAACUUCUAAAAUGCCAACUAAAACUUUUAUUUACAGGAAAAAAAGAAAGAAAAAAAAGGAAACAGGGAGGGAACUUAGAAAAGAUCUUCACCAACACUGUAAAACCAAUAAGGCCAGUUUUCCCAGGGACCCCAGGAAAAUGCCUAUUAUUUCCCCUCUAAAGGGAGGAAAAGAAAAGGAAUUUCCAUUUUUGGAUUUGGCCAGACUCAUGUACCUCUCCCCACCCCACCCCACCCCACCCCCGUCUCCCCCAGUACCAGGCAACGGGGUCAAGCAAUUCUAUCACACAACUACCUCUGACCUUCUUCUGUAGAUAAUAGUUAUGGACUGACCCAUUCUCUGGACACUCACAAGUUAUCCAUCAAGAAUAUCAUUCUGCAGUUCAGUGUUAGCCUUCCAAUGAACUACAAACAUAUGCUUUUGUCUCCAAAACAAAACCACAGGCAAAAGCUAAGACUGAGGUCUCUUCCUCUCUAGCUUACCUUCUCGUACCUGGUGCUGGGCUCCAUGCGUGGUCAGUCCUCACCCAAGUUAAUUCUUCCUCUUUCCCCUCCAGAAACUCACCAGGGGAUGUUCUCUGAGGACUCAUGGCAAUCACCUCCAGGGGGUUAGGGAGACCCUACUCUUCAGGCCAUGAGUCAGAGAACUUGAGCUAACACCAGUAAACAUUGAACCAUACCUGAUGAAGUAGAUGAACUAAAGAAUAGGAUUAUUAUACGUAACCUAAAGGGUCUUCCUGUAUGUAUGCAAGUUACCUAUUUAGGAAUCCAAGUAGAUAAUAUGUCUCAAGCAGUGCUUACGUAAGAAGGUGCAGCCAGUGUGACACUCUUUCCACCAGCCCUCUGGCUAUGCUUGCAGCGAAAUCUCCCGAAUUUCCUCGGACUGAGGAAUCCCGGCAGAGAAACCCGUCAUCGGGAACGAGAAAGGAGAAAGGGUGACCUCUGCUGGUCAAAUCAGGAGGUUUUUUAAAUCUGGUUCUUUUCCCAACUCUGCGAAGAAAACAGUGAGCAGAGAGAGAGUUGGGGAGGUCAGAGUGUGUAAGGUCCUCCCUGAACAAAUGAUCAUUUUUUCCACACUAGUCAUUUUUACAGACUUUUCCGCAAAAGGUCAUUGUUUGGCCCAGAAAUCCCUUAAUGGUGCGUAGAAAUGAGAUUCAAUGAGGUUUUUAUUGUGUUUAAUUAUUCUCUAGAAAGAAAAUAAAUAAAUGCUUUCAUCUAGAA